ACGGUACUUCACAACAACCUAGAGGAGCCUGUCUAAUAACCGAUACCCCACGAUUAACCCAACCCCCCCCAGCCUAACAGUCUAUAUACCGCCGUCGCCAGCUCACCUUGUGAAAGAAACAAAGUGAACUCAAUAGACCACCCCUAACACGACAGGUCGAGGUGUAACUAAUGGGCGGGAAUAAGAUGGGCUACAUUUUCUAAUAUAGAAAAUACGAAUAGACUAUGAAACUAGAAACUGAAGGCGGAUUUAGCAGUAUGGUAGNNNNAAAAUACCCACCUGAAACUAAUGNAAUGA
rnacentral:rRNA from 1 species